GGGAGGGAUUAUAGAAUGUUUUCUCUGGAAAAUAGGACCGAGAAGGCAGAACAACAAACUGGAUCUCACUCCAAGUCUUUCCAGACACAAAGGGAAAGAAGAGGAGGAAGAAAUCAAAUCCAACUUCGGUGGGAGACAAGGAGACAGCUCGUGACCAAGUGUGGCUCAGGGAAACCUGGUCAUGCUUAGAUUUGGCAAGUGACCUGCACUAUUUGUCACACAGUGGGAUUUUGAAGCACGAGGCUGUACGGUUGACGAGUAAUGAAGUGGUCCUAUUUCAAAACGAAGCAAAAUUCUGCUCUGAGAUUUUUAUUUGUAAGAAUUUCCUGGGUUCAAUGUUUCCCCUUAGCUUUUCCUCUUUCAUUUCUAGGAAGUUAUCAGUUUUCCAAAAAAGAGGGCCUUGGAUAGAAAAACAAACAGUUAUGACUGAGACUUUGGACUUGUAUAUUAACAAUGUCUAGAAGGGUGGUCAAAAAUGCUUACUUUCUCCAGCAGCAUCACUACCCAAUGGCCACCUAAGGGAUGGAGAUGUUCCAGAGUCAGGUUGGAGGGUCCUGUGGACAGAGCUAUGAUCUUUCUUGAAAGCUGUGUGAGUGAACGCAGAUUGGCACAAGGUGCUAUGCAGAAUAAUUAAAACCUAUCAUCUAGAUUAUUCAUGCGAUAGAAACCUACCACAGGGGCACGUUGUCCUAGAAACAGAGAGUUUCUGUUCUCUUCCCCACACGUGGAAUGUCCCGCAUCAUAGACAAGUUCUUAAGCUGAGGCAGCCUCCGCUGGUAAGAGGUUCUGUAACUGGCCAUGGCAGGUUUUCCUUUACCCCAGAACAACCAGCAAGAGGCCGAGAAUGUGAGAACAAGGGGAGGAGACCUGCUGAAAACCUGCCUUCGGCUUCACGGAGCAUUUAAAAGAACCUCCGAUCCCCUUGGCCGGUCCACACAGGCUGACCCAGCUGCUGCCACCUCCUCCUCACCUCGUUGGUGCUCCACUCCAGACGCUCCAGCACUUUCCUGCUGUCGUGAAAGCUGCUGUCUGAGUGAAGGUAGAUCAGGCUGGGCUGUGCUCAUGAACAAUCCCCAAACCUUAGUGGUUUAACACAACAAAGCUGUAUUUUUCUCUGGGACAAGAACCCAGGUGUUGUAACUCUUGGCAGCCAGAGGGCUCUGCUUAUAACAGACACGUGGCACCUGUGACCUGGGCAGAAGUGGGAAGGAGAUGUGGCGAAUUGUGCAUCUGCCCAAAGCAAAUGACCCGGCUGUGGCUCACUUCAAAGGGGAAUGCCCGGACGUGCGAGAGCUGGGGAUUGGUGGAGGGCACUGCGCCCACCGCAGGCCAUGCUUGCCCUCGCCUUGGGGUCAUUGCACUAGUUAUGUGCUCGCCUGGGAUGUUGUCCCUCCUGUCGUGUGGCUAGAGCUGACGUUUUUAAUCCAGAACUGAGCUCAAGAGUCACCUCCUCUUGACUUUCCUGACCAGAUAAAAUAAAUCACCACCUGGCUGACCA
rnacentral:lncRNA from 1 species